rnacentral:rRNA from 1 species
UACGUAGGGUCCAAGCGUUAUCCGGAAUCACUGGGCGUAAAGCGUCCGCAGGCGGCGCGUAAAGUGAGAUGCGAAAUCUUGCGGCUCAACCGUAUAGACUGUAUCUCAUACUCACGUGCUAGAGGACGGCAGAGGCAAGUGGAAUUUCUGGUGUAGCAGUGAAAUGCGUAGAUAUCAGAAGGAACACCAAUGGCGAAGGCAGCUUGCUGGGCCGUUUCUGACGCUCAUGGACGAAAGCGUGGGGAGCGAACAGG